rnacentral:rRNA from 1 species
AAGACCUUGCACUUUUGGAGCGGCCGAUGUCUGAUUAGCUAGUUGGUGGGGUAAUGGCCUACCAAAGCUUCGAUCAGUAGCUGGUCUGUGAGGACGGCCAGCCACACUGGGACUGAGACACGGCCCAGACUCCUACGGGAGGCAGCAGUGGGGAAUUUUGGACAAUGGGCGCAAGCCUGAUCCAGCCAUGCCGCGUGAGUGAAGAAGGCCUUCGGGUUGUAAAGCUCUUUCAGCCGGGAAGAAAAGGCUGCGACUAAUAAUCACAGUUCAUGACGGUACCGGAAGAAGAAGCACCGGCUAACUACGUGCCAGCAGCCGCGGUAAUACGUAGGGUGCGAGCGUUAAUCGGAAUUACUGGGCGUAAAGGGUGCGCAGGCGGUUUUGUAAGUCAGAUGUGAAGUCCCCGGGCUUAACCUGGGAACU